rnacentral:rRNA from 1 species
GAUGAACGCUGGCGGCGUGCCUAACACAUGCAAGUCGAGCGGAGAUUUACGGAGUACUUGUACGAAGUAGAUUUUAGCGGCGGACGGGUGAGUAACACGUGAGCAAUCUGCCUUCAGCUGGGGAAUAACAUUGUGAAACAGUGCUAAUACCGCAUGACAUCCGACCGGGGCAUCCCGGACGGAUCAAAGGAGAAAUCCGGCAGAAGAUGAGCUCGCGUCCGAUUAGGUAGUUGGUGAGGUAAAGGCUCACCAAGCCGACGAUCGGUAGCCGAACUGAGAGGUUGAUCGGCCACAUUGGGACUGAGACACGGCCCAGACUCCUACGGGUGGCUG